rnacentral:rRNA from 1 species
CCUACGGGCGGCUGCAGUGGGGAAUAUUGGACAAUGGGGGCAACCCUGAUCCAGCCAUGCCGCGUGUGUGAAGAAGGCCCUCGGGUUGUAAAGCACUUUCAGUGAGGAAGAACGCCUGGUGGUUAAUACCCAUCAGGAAAGACAUCACUCACAGAAGAAGCACCGGCUAACUCCGUGCCAGCAGCCGCGGUAAUACGGAGGGUGCGAGCGUUAAUCGGAAUUACUGGGCGUAAAGCGCGCGUAGGUGGCUUGAUAAGCCGGUUGUGAAAGCCCCGGGCUCAACCUGGGAACGGCAUCCGGAACUGUCAAGCUAGAGUGCAGGAGAGGAGGGUAGAAUUCCCGGUGUAGCGGUGAAAUGCGUAGAGAUCGGGAGGAAUACCAGUGGCGAAGGCGGCCUUCUGGACUGACACUGACACUGAGGUGCGAAAGCGUGGGUAGCAAACAGGAUUAGAUACCCUGGUAGUC